AUUUCUUCCCAAAGUUCUCAUACCAUGUGCAGGAGUCAGUCCUGGUCCAGACACAGCAUGGACAUGAGGAGCUCCACUCAGCUCCUGGGCCUCCUGCUGCUCUGGCUCCAAGGUGUCAGAUGUGACAUCCAGAUGACUCAGACUGCAUCCUCCUUGCCUGCAUCUGUGGGAGACACAGUCAACAUCAAGUGUAAGGCAAGUCAGGGUAUAAUCAAUGCUUUAAACUGGUACCAACAGAAACCAGGGAAAUAUCCUCAACUGCUGAUCUAUGAUGCAACCAGUUUGGGAUCUGGGGUCCCUUUGAGUUUCAGUGGCAGUGUAUUUGGGACAGAUUUCACUCUUGCCAUCAGUAGCCUACAGCCUGAAGAUGUUGCUACCUAUUACUGUCAACAUGUUUAUGGUACCCCUCCCACAGUGAUACAAGCCAUGACACACCAGCCAGGGAAGCAGAAGUGUGAGGUUGGGCUGCCCCAGCUCAGCUCCACUGCAUCUGUACUCAACUGCUGAGAGCAUUUCUCUGAACAAGCCAGGCUUGAAUGCUCCUUUGAAGCUUUAGAAGAAGAACCAAGCCUGUCGUCUACACCCUUACUCUCUUUCCUUGUUUUAGCUACUAAAGCACAGAUAGUCCAGCUCCUGUCCUAAUUAAGUGAAGGCCACAGAUGAGCACCUCUGAGCAGUGUGGAUUAUGGCAUAAUUUUGGAUUCAGACAGCAACAUAGAAGCCCUUCUGUGUUCUAAGCAAGGAUUUUUAAAGAUCUCCUUCAAUUUUUAGUGUAGAUUUGUUCAUGGAAAAGUUUAAAAUACAGAGGUGGCCCUGAUUACCCAGUACACAUGGCUCUGCAGUCUAUCAUCAACAACCAAGGACAAUUUUGUUACAAACCAUUAAGAUCCAUAAGUGUGCAAAGUCUGUACUUUGCAUGAAGGUUCACUAUUGCUGCUAUACAUUUCACAAGAGGAAACAAAUGUGCAAUAACACACACGCAGCGUUUGCUACUGUGCAAUUUUGUUUCAUUGCCAUAAAAUUCUCCACCCUAAAAAUUAUCCCUGUUCAUUCUCCUCCAAUUCCUGCCAGUAAUUUGUAUUUUACCAUCCCAUUUCCAAAAUGACAAAAUCUUGCCUUUAUAACUUAGAAGUUUUUGAAAGACAAUCUCAGAAUAUGCUGUACUAAGAAAUACAAUAAUUAAAAAUAUUGAGUAACACCUCUUUGUACUUACAAGGUUCUCUUUAUCCCUUCUGUGUCCUCUGUUCAAGACCUGGAGGCCUUGCUGUGCAACCCUUGCUGGUGCUCUGCUUCUUCUACGAAGUCCCUUCCUGUCACAAUCUCUCAGCGGGAUGUGGUUACUGUCUCUGGACAAAGAUCAACCUGAAUCAGGUGCAGCAGUGAGCUGCAGACCUGGAGCUGUGGCCCUCUGAGUCCUGGUGCUCUGGGUCCAGUUUGGACAACAUAGAUGCUCUUAGAAGAUUUCUGGAAUGAGUGAAUAUUCGUGAUAUUGGGAACACCACCUGCAGUAGCAGAGUCAUCAAUGUACCAUCAAUGAAGCUCAAAUAAAUCUAGAACUGCUGUGUCCAUAUUAUGUUACUAGCAUUUAAGUUCAUUGCUUUCAAUGAAAAGUGAGAGCAAUGGUUUCCUGAGAGAUGUAACACUGUGUGAUACAUUAAUCC